UCCUAGUGCUGAGCGGGCCCCAGCUACUGAGCAUGCCCAGCGUAGCGACGGGAGCCAGAGGAAAGAAGAGGACUUUAAGCCGCGCUUAAGCACUGAUUUCACUUCCUCGGGGCCUAUCGUGUAAUAGAAGGGAACUAGUCAACAGAAAGAAGGUGGUAAACUACCCAAAUACAGCACAGAAGAGGAAAUACAUGCUCCUAGACAGGGUGGACAAUGAACCCUAAGGUGCUAAUGAGCGGUGAAAUGGUCAAAAGGAUGUCAGCCAGAGGAAGCACUAGAAGAAAAAGCACGACAUGAGUAACCCAGAAACUGGAUAAUCAGCCUCAAAUGGUUGAGUUGACUGCAAUGAGGAUCAGCUAUUAAAUAUCUCCUUAACUAAAUUCCAUGAGGAUAUAUGUCAUGAAACCAUAUCCUUAUAUUAAAGGUUUUCACAUAUGUGUAGUCUAUCUUGGUUUAUGUGAAUAUGGUAUAGUCUUGGAAAUUGUCUAAACUAUAGUGAUUUUUCAUUGUCAACAAUGAUAGGAUAUUUAUUUUCAGAACACAGCUAAUUAACUGCCAGUUUCUCUAUUAAAUAUGGCCAACAGGCUGCUUAUGAGUCAGUACUCUGUCAGACAGCCCUGUUUUUAGACCAAUGGGAAUAUUAUUAACUCACUCCUAUGCCUUUCUGGGAGACAAUAGAAGCAUUGCUGGCAUCUACAUUUUUUUAAAAAUUUUUGCUCCAAACUCAUGUUUUAGUAAACAGAAUUUUUAAGGUAUUGUUAUGGUGAACAUUUUUUGGUUUUUGUUAAGCAUUUGGUUUUCAAGAAUUGUUGAAAAUGCUUUCAGGGUGCAAAUAUUUUCAA